ensembl:lncRNA
GGGGGACAGAGGAAGGUACUGUACAGUCUGGGGGGGGACAGAGGAAGGUACUGUACAGUCUGGGGGGGACAGAGGAAGGAACUGUACAGUCUGGGGGGACAGAGGAAGGGACUGUACAGUCUGGGGGGGACAGAGGAAGGGACUGUACAGUCUGGGGGACAGAGGAAGGUACUGUAUCCCAUUUCACUCUAACCACUAGACUACUCCCCUACACUCUAACCACUAGACUACCUACCACCCCUACACUCUAACCACUAGACUACCUGCCGCCUCUACACUCUAACCACUAGACUACCCUGCCUCCUCUACACUCUAACCACUAGACUACCUGCCCCCACCCCUACACUCUAACCACUAGACUAUCUGCCCCCUCUACACUCUAACCACUAGACUACCUGCCCCCCC